rnacentral:rRNA from 1 species
GACGGAGGAUGCAAGUGUUAUCCGGAAUCACUGGGCGUAAAGCGUCUGUAGGUGGUCAAAUAAGUCAACUGUUAAAUCUUGAGGCUCAACCUCAAAAUCGCAGUCGAAACUAUUAGACUAGAGUAUAGUAGGGGUAAAGGGAAUUUCCAGUGGAGCGGUGAAAUGCGUAGAGAUUGGAAAGAACACCGAUGGCGAAGGCACUUUACUGGGCUAUUACUGACACUCAGGGACGAAAGCUAGGGGAGCGAAUGGG